rnacentral:rRNA from 1 species
CUGCGUGAGAGGUGAAAUUCAUGGACCGUAGCGUGACGAACUAAAGCGAAAGCAUUUGCCAAGAAUGUCUUCAUUAAUCAAGAACCGAAAGUCAGAGGUUCGAAGGCGAUUAGAUACCGCCGUAGUUCUGACCGUAAACGAUACCAUCUAGCGAUCCGGUGGUGGUUUUACCGCCUUGCCGGGGAGCUUCCCGGAAACGAAAGACUUCCGGUUCCGGGGGUAGUAUGGUUGCAAAGCUGAAACUUAAAGGAAUUGACGGAAUCGCACCACCAGGAGUGGAGCCUGCGGCUUAAUUUGACUCAACACGGGAAAACUCACCCGGCCCGGACACUGUAAGGAUUGACAGACUGAGAGCUCUUUCUUGAUUCGGUGGUUGGUGGUGCAUGGCCGUUCUUAGUUGGUGGAGCGAUUUGUCUGGUUUAUUCCGAUAACGAGCGAGACGCACCCCUACUUAAUACACCGUGAAUAAUUUCGUUCACAGGUGUUCUUGAGGAAUUGGCGGUAUCGAGCCGCACGAAAGUGCGCAAUAACAGGUCUGUGAUGCCCUUAGAUGUUCGGGGCUGCACGCGUGCUACACUGGAGUCUGCAACGUGCUCCAUGGCCGAAGGGUCACUGGUAAACCGUUGAAAAGAUUCCGUGAUCGGGAUAGGGAAUUGCAAUUAUUUCCCUUGAACGAGGAAUUCCUAGUAAGUGUGAGUCAUCAUCUCGCUCUUAAUACGUCCCUGCGAUUUGUACACACCGCCCGUCCGCUACCCGGGACUGAACCGUUUCGAGAAAUCCAGGGAAUUGUUCGCGGGACUUGUUCCUUGCGAGUGGUGAACUGGCUUGAUCGCGACGGUUUGAACCGGGU